AUUACCCAUUAGGGCAAAGCAUGCGCAGUCUCCCCCCCUCUAAACGGCGUCGUAUUGCAAUCUCAAUAAAAGCUAAAAAAUUUGCUUUAUUUUUCUGCUGUUUCAUUCUCUACAAAGAACGCAAAAAAUAAAAAAUAAAAAAUUAAAAGGGAAGUCCCCUUUCUCUGCUAGGGUUCCAGGCCUAGCCUUGGAACCCCGCCGCCGUCCCUCUUCCCCACUUCUCCGAUCGCGCCGCCGUAAUAGUCGACGGGCAAUGGCGAAAGACGAGGCUUUUAACCCCGCUUUUAAGUUCGGUGGAUGACACCAGUGAGGAGAAGCCAAAAUAGAAAGAGGAGAAAUCUAACCACCUCUUAGCCCGGCCCCGACAACGACGAAGGGACCUCCGUCGACGAAGCCACGCGGCGGUUUCAGGUGCCCGUGGCCGACAGUGGUGGCAGAGGCGUGCGAGUGGAGGCGUGGGCUGGAGGCGUGGUAGACGAGGAGGCCACGUAAGGCAUGCGGCGGCCAGCUAGGGUUUGCUGCUGAAAUUAGAAGUUUGUGGGCUGAUUAUUUUGGGCUUAAGGUUUGGGUAGUUGGGAUUGAAUUUUGGGUUUGUUGUAUUUUAUUUUAUUUGGACAAUGGACCCAGCAAAUUUGGGCUUCUACAGCCUCUAUUCAAAAAAAAAAGACAAAAAUAUUAGAUUAAAGAGUAAA